rnacentral:rRNA from 1 species
AUGGCAAUCCUGAAUCCCAGGCCAUCCGGCGUUGUCGAUGCAAGGCCUCGGGUAGAAAUGGCAGCUCUGGCAGGUAAAAAAUAUCAUGGGUAUUAACUAGUGCAGCAGCCGGUACUGAAAGAAUAAGCACAAUCUAACUAGCGUGCAGCAGAAGUGGUAAUUAUGUAGGUGCAAGCGUAAAUCGUCAAUUGCUGGGGGGUAAAUCGUCUGCAGGCGGUUCGAAAAGAAAGAUGUGAAAUCCCAGAGCUUAACUUUGGGUAUGCAUUUUUAACUACCGAGCUAGAGUGUGUCAGAGGGAGGUGGAGUUUAGCGUGUAGCAGUGAAAUGUGUAGAUAUGCGGAGGAACACCGAUGGCGAAGGCAGCCUCCUGGGAUAACACUGACGCUCAUGCACGAAAGCGUGGGGAGCACACAGGAUUAGAUACCCUGGUAGUAUACACCCUAAACGAUGUCAACUAGCUGUUGGGGCCUUCGGGCCUUGGUAGCGCAGCUAACGCGUGAAGUUGACCGCCUGGGGAGUACGGUCGCAAGAUUAAAACUCAAAGGAAUUGACGGGGACCCGCACAAGCGGUGGAUGAUGUGGAUUAAUUCGAUGCAACGCGAAAAACCUUACCUACCCUUGACAUGUCUGGAAUUCCGAAGAGAUUUGGAAGUGCUCGCAAGAGAACCGGAACACAGGUGCUGCAUGGCUGUCGUCAGCUCGUGUCGUGAGAUGUUGGGUUAAGUCCCGCAACGAGCGCAACCCUUGUCAUUAGUUGCUACGAAAGGGCACUCUAAUGAGACUGCCGGUGACAAACCGGAGGAAGGUGGGGAUGACGUCAAGUCCUCAUGGCCCUUAUGGGUAGGGCUUCACACGUCAUACAAUGGUCGGGACAGAGGGUCGCCAACCCGCGAGGGGGAGCCAAUCCCAGAAACCCGAUCGUAGUCCGGAUCGCAGUCUGCAACUCGACUGCGUGAAGUCGGAAUCGCUAGUAAUCGCGGAUCAGCAUGUCGCGGUGAAUACGUCCCCGGGUCUUGUACACACCGCCCGUUCUCCUUUGAGUGGGUUUUACCAGAAGUAGUUAGCCUAACCGUAAGGGGGGCGAUACCACGUAGAUCCGAUCGGGG